AUACUUUUCUGCCAAGGGAGAGAUAAUUAUUAUGAAGGUGAUUUUCCUAGGCUGAGGCUUAUCCAUUGCACUCUGGAUAUGCCUGCCCCUGUGAUUUCCCCAAAUGUAGGAAAUUCAACUGCAUAAUUUAUAGUAGUGAGGGACUGUGUUCAUGCUCUCCCCUU